GGCUGAAGCGGUUAAGACACCGCCCUUUCACGGCGGUAACACGGGUUCGAGUCCCGUAGGAGUCA
rnacentral:tRNA from 1 species